GGAUAGCCUUUAGAAAUGAAGAUUAAUACCUCAUAGUAUUUUGAAUUGGCAUCGAUUUAAAAUUAAAGAUUUAUCGGUAAAAGAUGGCUAUGCGUCCUAUUAGCUAGAUGGUAAGGUAACGGCUUACCAUGGCAACGAUGGGUAGGGGGCCUGAGAGGGUGAUCCCCCACACUGGUACUGAGACACGGACCAGACUCCUACGGGAGGCAGCAGUGAGGAAUAUUGGACAAUGGAGGCAACUCUGAACCAGCCAUGCCGCGUGCAGGAAGACUGCCCUAUGGGUUGUAAACUGCUUUUAUACAGGAAGAAACACUCUCACGUGUGAGAGCUUGACGGUACUGUAAGAAUAAGGAUCGGCUAACUCCGUGCCAGCAGCCGCGGUAAUACGGAGG
rnacentral:rRNA from 1 species